rnacentral:rRNA from 1 species
UGAUUAAAGUUGAAGGGCCGCGGUAUUUUGACCGUGCGAAGGUAGCAUAAUCAUUAGUCUUUUAAUUGAGGGCUUGUAUGAAUGGUUGGACAAAAAAUAAGCUGUCUCGAUUGUAUAAAUUGAAUUUAACCUUUGAGUGAAAAGGCUUAAAUGGUCUAGGGGGACGAUAAGACCCUAUAAAGCUUUACAAUUAUUUGGUUAAAUUAUAAAUUGUUAGUAUAAACUUAAUUUAAUUGAUGUUUGUUUCGUUGGGGCGACGAGAAUAUAAUUUAGUAACUGUUCUUUUAUAAUUUGUUACAAUGAUUUUUGGAAAAGAAAUGAUCCUCUAUUAGAGAUUAAAAGAUUAAGUUACUUUAGGGAUAACAGCGUAAUCUUCUUUGAAAGUUCAUAUCGACAAGAAGGGUUGCGACCUCGAUGUUGAAUU